CAAAACGUUGUUGCGACAGCAUUCCUGCGUAGUACGAGAGGAACCGCAGGUACGGACCAAUGGCACAAUACUUGUUCGAGCGAACAGUGGUAUGACGCUACGUCCGUUGGAGUAUGCCUGAACGCCUCUAAGGUCGUAUCCGUGCUGGACUGCAAUGAUAAAUAAGGGGCAAUUUGCAUUGUAUGGCUUCUAAACCAUUAAAAGUUUGUAAUUUAUUUUACAAACGACAAUGGAUGUGAUGCCAAUGUAAUUUGUAACAUAGUAAAUUGGGAGGAUCAUUGAUCACCUGGUGCCGCGCUAGUUACAUAUAAAAACAUUAUUUAAUACAAUGACAAAGCCUAGAAUCAAUUGUAAACGACUUUUGUAUAUAGUACAUACAA
rnacentral:rRNA from 1 species